CCUACGGGAGGCAGCAGUGGGGAAUAUUGGGCAAUGGGCGCAAGCCUGACCCAGCAACGCCGCGUGAAGGAAGAAGGCUUUCGGGUUGUAAACUUCUUUUCACAGGGACGAAGCAAGUGACGGUACCUGAGUAAUAAGCCACGGCUAACUACGUGCCAGCAGCCGCGGUAAUACGUAGGUGGCAAGCGUUAUCCGGAUUUACGGGGUGUAAAGGGAGUGUAGGCGGGAAAGCAAGUCAGAUGUGAAAACCAUGGGCUCAACCUGUUGACUGCAUUUGAAACUGUUUUUCUUGAGUACUGGAGAGGCAGGCGGAAUUCCUGGUGUAGCGGUGAAAUGCGUAGAUAUUAGGAGGAACACCAGUGGCGAAGGCGGUCUGCUGGACUGCAACUGACGCUGAGGCGCGAAAGCGUGGGGAGCAAACAGGAUUAGAUACCCUAGUAGUC
rnacentral:rRNA from 1 species